GACGCCGUCGAAGCGACGGGACAUUUUUAGGAUGGACUGACUAUACUAAAUGGAGUAGCCGAGGUGAUUCAACCUCACCACAUCAAGCCAGUUGGAGCAGAACAGAACGGAAACGGAUCGUUCCCGCGGGAACUCUUACGGUGUGGGCAGUUUCAUGGAAGGUGAAAGUUGUCGUCCGCCUGAGAACAGCAAAAUAAAC